GCCAGGCACGUGCCUGUAGUCCCAGCUACUCGGGAGGCUGAGGUGGGAGGAUUGCUUGAGCCCAGGAGUUCUGGGCUGUAGUACGCUAUGCCGAUCGGAUGUCCGCACUAAGUUCGGCAUCAAUAUGGUUGGUGACCUCCCAGAAGCGGGGGACCACCAGGUUGCUUAAGGAGAGGUGAACUGGCCCAGGUCAGAAACGGAGCCGGUCAAAACUCCCAUGCUGAUCAGUAGUGGGAUCGCGCCUGUGAAUAGCCAUGGCACUCCAGCCUGGACAACAUAGAGACCAGGUCUCU
rnacentral:SRP_RNA from 1 species